CAAUAGCGUAUAUUAAAGUUGUUGCAGUUAAAAAGCUCGUAGUUGGAUUUCUGACAGGAGCGACCGGUCUCGAGCUUCAUGUUCGUUGCACUUGUGUCCGUCUCUAGUCAUCCUUAUGGAGAACGUGUGUGUCAUUAAGUUGACGUGCAUGGGAACCAUAUCGUUUACUGUGAAAAAAUUAGAGUGUUUAAAGCAGGCAAUCGCUGUGAAUACAUUAGCAUGGAAUAAUAAGAUAGGACUUUGGUACUAUUUUGUUGGUUUGCAUACCAAGGUAAUGAUUAAGAGGGACAGUUGGGGGUAUUCGUAUUUACAUGUCAGAGGUGAAAUUCUUGGAUUUUGGAAAGACGAACUACUGCGAAAGCAUUUACCAAGGAUGUUUUCAUUAA
rnacentral:rRNA from 1 species